rnacentral:rRNA from 1 species
GAUGAACGCUGACAGAAUGCUUAACACAUGCAAGUCGAGCGAGCGGCGGACGGGUGAGUAAUGUCUGGGAAACUGCCUGAUGGAGGGGGAUAACUACUGGAAACGGUAGCUAAUACCGCAUACCAUCAGAUGUGCCCAGAUGGGAUUUGCUAGUAGGUGGGGUAACGGCUCACCUAGGCGACGAUCCCUAGCUGGUCUGAGAGGAUGACCAGCCAAACUGGAACUGAGACACGGUCCAGACUCCUACGGGAGGCAGCAGUGGGGAAUAUUGCACAAUGGGCGCAAGCCUGAUGCAGCCAUGCCGCGUGUGUGAAGAAGGCCUUCGGGUUGUAAAGCACUUUCAGCGGGGAGGCGUUACCCGCAGAAGAAGCACCGGCUAACUCCGUGCCAGCAGCCGCGGUAAUAC